UCACCACGAUACUAGAUCGACACUUGUUUUGAAAAUCGUUGCCAAAGGCCAUCAAAAAGCUCGUGAUCGACGACCACUGCCACGUUGCGUCGUUGCUAAUCUUCACUAGGCCUCGAUAAUCGGCGGCGGCGGCGGCUUCAAUUCGCUGCCUCAUCACCAUGAUAUUUUGAUCCAGCUGAUCCAAAGACGGUGAUCCCAAUGAUCUAGUUGCUAGAUCCUCUUAUCGACGUGUUUCUUGAUCCGGAUAGGAGGCGGUUGUUGAUUCCAUGCAUGGACCUCGUUGCUAUCACACUAACUGGAGCACUUUGGAUUUGAUCCCGUCAUCAGGCCUUUCUGUUACGUGCUGCACUAAAAUGCUGAUCCAGAGCGAUAUGGCUAGCUACAUGUAUAGCAUCAAGACAUGAGUAUUAUGCAUUUCACAUACUGACAUACUCGUAUAACCUGUAUGAACAUAUACUCGAUCAUCUCGUAGA